rnacentral:rRNA from 1 species
GACGGAGGGGGCAAGCGUUGUCCGGAAUCACUGGGCGUAAAGCGCACGUAGGCGGGACGGUGCGUCGGUGCUGAAAGCGCCAGGCUUAACCUGGCGAGGCGUGCCGAUACGACCGACCUCGAGGCAGGCAGAGGGUGGCGGAAUUCCGGGUGUAGUGGUGAAAUGCGUAGAGAUCCGGAGGAACGCCGGUGGCGAAAGCGGCCACCUGGGUCUGACCUGACGCUGAGGUGCGAAAGCGUGGGGAGCAAACAGG